UCCUCUGCCUACAAGCUCGGGGAGGAGUUUGAACAUGCUUAUGUUUGGAGGGAGUUCGAGAACAUGGCCGAGCUUCACUCGGCUCUUUUUCAAUUAUGGGCUUGCUGGAGUUACCCGCCUGCCGCUCCUUCAUGGCCUCCUUGUCCUUCAGCUUGAAGGCUUCCUCUACUCGGACAUAUCCUUCGGCUCAAGCCAGCAAAUCAGUGAAGUCUCUGGGAUACUUUUUUUCCAAAGAAAAUA
rnacentral:lncRNA from 1 species